AUUGAACGCUGGCGGCAGGCCUAACACAUGCAAGUCGAACGAGUGGCGGACGGGUGAGUAAUGUCUGGGAAACUGCCCGAUGGAGGGGGAUAACUACUGGACACGGUAGCUAAUACCGCAUACCAUCGGAUGUGCCCAGAUGGGAUUAGCUAGUAGGUGGGGUAACGGCUCACCUAGGCGACGAUCCCUAGCUGGUCUGAGAGGAUGACAAGCCACACUGGGACUGAGACACGGUACAGACUCCUACGGGAGGCAGAAGUGGGGAAUAUUGCACAAUGGGCGCAAGCCUGAUGCAGCCAGGCCGCGUGUAUGAAGAAGGCCUUAGGGUUGUAAAGUACUUUCAGCGAGGAGGCGUUACUCGCAGAAGAAGCACCGGCUAACUCCGUGCCAGCAGCCGCGGUAAUAC
rnacentral:rRNA from 1 species